AUUGUGGGAUCAUCAUUCUAAAUGAUGUGGGAUGUGUUGUCAUUUUCAAUAACAAACCCAUACUUGAAUGGUGCAUUACGUACUCUACUUGAUCUUCGAAGAAGAGGUGUGUGUAGUGACUGUGUUUCAACAAUGGGCACAUUUGAUUGAGAACUAUUUUGUGAAUCCUAGAUAGGUUGUAGGUUUUAAACUUUUUCAAGUUCGACAGACCUCCUACUGCCUCCUUAGAUAAAUUCUUUUUCUAAGAAUACAGCA
rnacentral:lncRNA from 1 species